UUCUCCGAGGACAGCGCCAGCAGCAGCUCGUCGCUCAGCAGGUGGUAGUUCAGCGCCAGCUCCCGCAGCCCGUGGCACUGAUCCGCCACACACAGGAUACCUGCGGCACAGCGUGGGAACAGUGAGCCAGGAACAGCCAAUGAGCAGCGCAGCAUGGCAACACUGGGGCAGCUUUUUU